rnacentral:snRNA from 1 species
UUUGCUUCUUGGCCUUUUGACUAAGAUCAAAUGUAGUAUCUGUUCUUAUCAGUUAAAUAUGAUAUGUUUUCUAAUGGAGGCCAAUAUAUUAAGUGGAUGUGUGGAGCAGGGAGGUAGAAUAGGAGGCUGUUCUGUCCAUUCCAUGCAUCAACCUAGUACUGCAGUAACUCCAGGAACUAUAAACACACA